ACUGCCCACUGGCCAGGAUUCCUGGCCUCUGAUUGGGCCCCGUCCCCUGCCAGUCCCCUCGGAAACAGAACCGCUCCUCACAGAGUCCGUGGGGCAAGGCCUUCUUCAUUCAUUUAACUGAGGCCUGUGCGUUCACCCCCCGGGAGAAUCUCUCACUCUGGCCCACACCGCAUCCGGCCUCCUGAGCCCCCUUGCAAAUCCUUCCGGUCCACGUUCUGUUCCCGAGUCCCUCUCCAGACUGGUUGUUCUUGUUUUUGUAUGGCCAAGGCUUAGGACAGCCCACAGAGGGCCAAAGCCGUGUUCAGGCUUUACCACUUCUUCCCCGGAUCAUUCCAACAGCCUUUUCCUGAGCCUGGCCACCCCCAGACUUAGCCCCUCGAGUCUAUCCUCCACAGGAAAAGAUCUCUGGGGGUCUUUCAUCAUUGGAAUCUGAAAAAGAAAAACGUGAGAGAUCAAUCACUGGAAACGUCCCGGAAAGGGGCACUGGGACCGAUGGCACAGCCUCGUGAAUGCACGAAAACCCAGUGGCCCGUACGCUUCAACGGGGCGAAUUUUACGCUAUGUAUUUCUAUCUCAGGAGAAAGCAGCAGUGGUGAGGACGUGAAACACUUCUGGGAAUCCAGCUACUGGCCCCAUUUCAGCUCCUGUGGAAUAUUACAGCAUGCCUCUAAAGAACCAUGCAACUUGGAUACAGAUGCUCUGGACCAUCCAACUCAAAUUCCUCCUGGAGCACGAGCACGCGCUGGGCACAAUGGCUCCACUCACUCCAGAUUCACGAGGCCGGCCUGGAAGGCCAAGAGCAGCUGAAAUCCACAAUGCUUGCAUUUGAUCCCGAUUAAAGACCAAGUUUCACAUCGAAUACCAAAUACGUUCUACUGCCAGGGGAACUCUGAACCCUCCAAGGGCCUGGUUUGAUUUCAGAGAUUAAACGUAAGCACAAGAACAAAAAAUGGCGAACUCGUGUCUUUCCAACCAGUAAUUUCUCUCAAAAUUAAGAAGAACAUGAAUAAUCUCCUCCCCCCUUCCCCCAACUGUUUGUCUGCUGCUUUCCAAAAUUCUAACGCAGAAUUGGAAGUCCAGCCUUCGGAGCCCGUGCGCCACACGGGGACCAGUCACGGCGGACCCCAGACACGAACUUGGGUUUGAACCUCCGUUCUCCCACUAGAGCUGUGUGGCCUUCGACGCAGAAUUCCAGCCUCAGUAGCCUCAUCUGUGAAGAGAGGGAAACGCUGAAACGGUUUCCUCAGAGGCGACGUAAGAAUGGCGAGAUAAUAUGCCGUAUAAAACAAGAACGCACCACACGCGUAUCAGCUGCUGCUCGUGGGUGAUGACCCUACAGUUGACUCAUUGUCAGGAAUAGAUGAGCGUCUUCCCAACAGCUGGGUUGUUCUUCCCUUAUUUAUACUCUGAGCCGUAUAAUUGCUCGGGUCCUUCUGUAGGUAAGAGUUGCAGAUUCACGUUUCUGUUUCACCCCUGCUGAGUAGGACCCCGUGAAAUGCACGGUGGCACUCGCCUCAUUCGUGGCUCUGUUUUCCAUCUCUACAUGGUUUUUUUUUUUUCCUUUCAGUCCUCAUUUAAUUUAUAUGUAGGCAAUUGCCAUGGACCGAAUGGGUGUGUCCACGCCAAAUUCAGAUGUUGAUGCCCUAACCCCCUGUUCUAUGGUAUUGGGGUUGGGGCCAUUGGAGGCUGUUAAGGUCAUUAGGGUAGAGACCUCAUGAAGGGCGUAAGUGCCUUGUAAGGAGAGAUAGGAGAGAGAUGUCUCCCUGCCGUGCGAGGACACAUCAGGAGGGUGGUUUUCUACAAGCCAAGAAGGGGUCUCCCAACAAAACCCCACCAUGAUGGCACCCAGAUCUCGGACAUCCAGCCUCCAGAGCUAUGAGAAAUGUGUAUCGUUUAAGCUCCCCAGUCUAUGGUGUUUUUGUUAGAGCAGCCUGAGCUGGCUGACGGAGAUCCUGUUAUGUUUCCAACCAUCUUCUGUCCAUGGUCAUACACAGUGAAGGAUACAGACAUGAUGGACAGAUAAAUGGGUAGGCCAAUGGAUACAGAAAAAUGGGAGACAUGCUUGGGGAACGAACCCAGUCAAUGUGCACAGAUGAACAGACAGAAGAUAGCCAGACCCUUCCCUUCUGUCUUUUCAUUUUCUGCUGUGUUUUGCCUGCUCACCUGACCACACUGAUCGGUACGGGCUAAGGACUGGUGCAGGUUGAAAUAGAAUCACAAAGACUGGUCCUAGCCUGGCCAGGGCCUCUGCCAGUUAGAAGUGGAGUCAUAUGGGGGGCGCCUGGGUGGCUCAGUCGGUGAAGCGUCUGACUUCGGCUCGGGUCGCAAUCUCAUGGUUUGUGGGUUCGAGCCCCGCGUCGGGCUCUGUGCUGACAGCUC